rnacentral:tRNA from 1 species
CGGGAUGUGGCUCAGCUUGGUAGAGCGCUGCGUUCGGGACGCAGAGGUCGCUGGUUCAAAUCCAGUCAUCCCGA